GUCUAUUCAGAGACAUUAAAUAAAAUUGAAAUGAUAUAGAGAAGAUUAACAUGACCUCUGCAUAAGGAUGACAAUCAUAUAUUGAAAGAAUAGUUCAAAAAUUUA